CUUUCACAGAGUAUAGUUUUAUUGUUGUUUUUUGUUGUUGUUUGGUUUGCCCCCCUUCGGGGUGGUAAGCUACGCACAAUCAGAAUGUAACCUGAAGUAACUAGCUUCCCGAGACACACACGGUACAGUAGGUGGCGGUAUGCACCUAAGCUGCUGGUUGCCACCCGCCAGUAAUCGAAAGAAGAAGAAGAAGAAGCACAAACAGGAAGAAAGGAAAAUUCAACCAAUCACAGCGGACAGAACGAAUCUCGUUUCCGGACACACUUAGCUGGUUAGCUUGCCCUUCGAAGCUAAUGCUAAAGUUUGUGAAAAUGCCUAAUAUCCAAACGCUGAGAGCUUUGGUGAAUGAGCGGCUCACUGCGGCUGCCGAAGAGAUAUUUGCACUGUUUGAAAGAACGAUAGCGGAGUACGAGGGGGAACUGUGUCGCUUCCAGAAGGUGAACCAGAGGCAACGACGCCUCCUGGAUGAAGUGACCCCGAGAGGCCCGCCGCCCUGUGCGGGAGUGGAGGUCCGGGUUCCCUCGCCGAAUCCUGGCCCCGGGCUGAACCACGAAAUCAUACAGACUGUAGAGAUUAAAGAGGAACAGGGCGUCAAACAGGAGGAAGAGCAGCUGCCAGUGUCAGUCCCAGAGUUCAUUGCUGUCUGUGUGAAGACGGAAGAAUCCCCACUGCUUCAAAGCCAAAGUGAGCACAGAGAGGAACCACAGGAGGACGUCGUACCAGAGCCACAUUUCCACACAGAGACUCAUCAGGGACACACAUCGUCUGGCACUAACUAUGACUGGGAACCACCAUUCAGCUGUCCAACUGCCCUGAUGGAGACAGAGGCUGAUGGAGACCACUACAACCAAGUCCAGUUUAGAGACAGAGGCACAGCUCAAAACUCCGGUCUAUCUUCUGAGUCGCAACCAGGGACAAGUGCUACGGUCAACCCUCAAGACGUGUCCGCAACUAAUGAAGGAGAUAAGAACAAGAUACACCAGUGCCCUGUGUGUAAAAUAAAUUCUGGAGUAAGUUUAGUUUACAAAAGCACUUUAAAGUUCACACAGAAGACAGACCUUUCUGCUGUUCAAUCUGUCCAAAAACAUUUAUUCAUAAGGGUGAUCUAG
rnacentral:lncRNA from 1 species